CAGUCGCCGCGGGAAUACGUAGGGUGCAAGCGUUAAUCGGAAUUACUGGGCGUAAAGCGUGCGCAGGCGGUUAUAUAAGACAGAUGUGAAAUCCCCGGGCUCAACCUGGGAACUGCAUUUGUGACUGUAUAGCUAGAGUACGGCAGAGGGGGAUGGAAUUCCGCGUGUAGCAGUGAAAUGCGUAGAUAUGCGGAGGAACACCGAUGCGAAGGCAAUCCCCUGGGCCUGUACUGACGCUCAUGCACGAAAGCGUGGGGAGCAAACAGGAUUAGAUACCCCGGUAGUCCCUGUCUCUUAUACA
rnacentral:rRNA from 1 species